GAGUAGCUGGGAUUACAGGCACCACCUAAUUAGCCCGCCACCACGCCCGGCUAAUUUUUGUAUUUUUAGUAGAGACGGGGUUUCACCAUCUUGGCUAGGCUGGUCUUGAACUCCUGACCUCGUGAUCCACCCGCCUCGGCCUCCCAGAGUGCUGGGAUUACAGGCGUGAGCCACCGCACCUGGCCUAAAACUGAUUUUUUAUUAAUUUUGGGGCUUUUAAUAUUUUUUUCUUAUUUCUAAAUUCUGAGGUUAUUUAUAGUAGCCCCAUAUACGGGAUUAGAUAAUCUCUUGUGAUUUUCUAUUUCUGGUAAUUAUUUCUAAUAUAUGUUUUUUUGUUUUUGAGACGGAGUCUCGCUAUGUCGCUCAGGGUGGAGUGCAGUGGCAUGAUCUCCGCUCUUUGUAGCCUCUGCCUCCCGGGUUCAAAUGAUCCUCCCACCUCAGCCCCCCGAGUAGCUUGGACCACAGAGUACGAGUACAUCUGGUUGAAAGAGAAAAGGCAGAGAGAAAAGCAGACUUUUUGGAGUUGUUGUUCUCAGGCACUAACAGAUUCAUCCCUUAUAUGCAUAUGAAUGGACAAUAAGAUUUCUUGGAUAUUUUCAUGGCAAAGGGUAAGAGUGAAGCUAUCCUGGACAAGAACUUUGACAGGACAAUACUAUUCACUCUGAAGGACCAAAAAAUGAGCAGAAAAUUUGGGAUAAAUGUCAACAAGAUUUGAACCCUAAAGAAAAGCAAGCAUCGAGUUAGACAGACGUCCAUAUUCAUUCAACUGGGAAAAUAAAACUGCAGUCCCAACAUCAGAAUUUCCUUGGUCAGUUGGUUAUUGCGGGACAGCAUUCUUCUGCAUGACAGUAUUGUCUCCUUACCAGCCACAGAGGAGGCUGUGAGAGAGAGGAUUUGGGAAAUUGGUGCAAAUGAGAAAUCUUGGAAAUCUAGAACUAAAGCCUUUCAGCAGGAAAUCCAGAUGCUCACUAAGUGACUAGAGCAGCUGCAUCAUCUUUAAGAAGAAGGUGCUCAAGAAUCAUCCCAAGCUGAAGAAAAAAGUAUUGGGAACAAAAAAGACCCUUGAAAUGUCUAGAAAGAAAAAUUGAGAUCAAGGACUUUUUCAAGAGAGAUUAGACUUGGACAGGAAGAAAAAUUUGCAGAUUGCUACUACGCAAAGAUUGGAGGAGAAAAUUCAGAAACUUCAGAGACAGCUCAGUGAUUUGAAAUUGUCAAAUAAAAAUAUGAAAACUCAGCUGACAAGAGUAAAUGUCCUUAAAGACAAAACAAUUGAAGAGCUCAGGCAAUCUUUAGCAAAUGUUGAAAGGAUGAAAGAGAAGGCAAAUGUUGAAACGAUGAAAGAGAAGGCAGUUGUGAAAACAGAAAA
ensembl:lncRNA novel transcript